GUGGUGAAGGUUAGUGUGAACAGAUUUGGCUAUAUUGGGUGCCUGGUUACCAGGGCUGCCUUCUCUGCACUUGGCAAAGUGGAGAAUGUUGCCAUCAAUGACCUCAACUACAUGGUCUACACGUUCUAGUAUGACUCCACCCAAGGCAGAUUCAAUGGCACAGUCAAGGCUAAGAAUGGGAAGCUUGUCAUCAAUGGGAAGCCUAUCACCAUCUUCCAAGAGCGAGAUCCUGCUAACAUCAAAUGUGGUGAUGCUGGUGCCAAGUAUGUUGUGGAGUCUACUGGCAUCUUCACCACCAUGGAGAAGGCAGGAGCCCACUUGAAGGGUGGAGCCAAAAGGGUCAUUAUCUUUUCCCCUCCUACAGAUAGAUGCCCCCAUGUUUGUGAUGGAUGUGAAUCACAAGAAUUAUGACAACUCACUCAAGAUUGUCAGCAACACAUCCUGUACCACCAAUUGCUUAGCCUACCUGGCCAAGGUCAUCCAUGACAACUUUGGCAUCAUGGAAGGGCUCAUGACCACAGUCCAUGCCAUCACUGCCUCGCAGAAGAUUGUGACUGGCCUCUCUGGAAAGCUGUGGUGUGGCAACAUGGGGCUGCUCAGAACAUCGUCCCUGCAUCCACUGAUGCUGCCAAGGCUGUCAGCAAGGUCAUCCCAGAGCUGAACAAGCUCACUGGUAUGGUUUCUGUGUUCCUACCCCCAAUGUAUCUGUUGUAGAUCUGACAUGCCACCUGGAGAAACCUGCCAAGUAUGAUGACAUCAAGAAGGUGGUGAAGCAGGCAUCAGAGGGCCCAUUAAAGGACAUCCUGGGCUACACUGAGAACCGGGUUGUCUCCUGCAACUUCAGCAGCAACUCCCACUCUUCCACCUUUGAUGCUGGGGCUGGCAUUGAUCUCAAUGACAACUUUGUAAAGCUUGUUUCCUGGUAUGACAAUGAAUACAGAUACAGCAACAGGGUCAUGGACCUCAUGGCCUCCAUGGCCUCCAAGGAGUAA
rnacentral:lncRNA from 1 species